GCUAACCGAAAGGGAGCAGCUGCCGAAGGUGAAAUGAGUGACUGGGGUGAAGUCGUAACAAGGUAGCCGUAUCGGAAGGUGCGGCUGGAUCACCUCCUUU
rnacentral:ncRNA from 1 species